rnacentral:rRNA from 1 species
CAGCCGCCGCGGUAAAACGUAGGGUGCAAGCGUUAAUCGGAAUUACUGGGCGUAAAGCGUGCGCAGGCGGUUAUAUAAGUCAGAUGUGAAAUCCCCGGGCUCAACCUGGGAACUGCAUUUGAGACUGUAUGGCUAGAGUGUGUCAGAGGGGGGUAGAAUUCCACGUGUAGCAGUGAAAUGCGUAGAUAUGUGGAGGAAUACCGAUGGCGAAGGCAGCCCCCUGGGAUAACACUGACGCUCAUGCACGAAAGCGUGGGGAGCAAACAGGAUUAGAUACCCCAGUAGUCCCUGUCUCUUAUAA